CAUAUUCAUCUAAUAGUAGUGGGAAUGUGAACAAGUUAGCAGACACUUCUCAUCUACUCAGUCAGAGACCUAGGUUAACAGAGGUUCUACUACAUAUAGGCUUACAAGAAGGCCUUGUUGUUGUUGUUUUUUUUCCUUUUAGGUAUUCCAUAGGGGAAAAAAGCAGAGCUGAGAAUGCACAGAAAUUUUCAUGUGCCAAGUUUGGAAGUGCAAAAAGAACCGUUCCAGGUGCAGCCCCUCUAUCUUGGACUUCCCAACCCCCAGAACAUGUUUGGGUCCAGACCACCUUUAUGAGCUUUAAUGCUCAUCCAGAAGGGCUGCAGCAGAGACCACAAACCCACCAGGAAAGACGAACAACUCCAGGCUGGAGGAGUGAACAACUCCGGACGUGCCACCUUUAUGAAGUGUAACACUCACCACGAAGGUUUGCAGCUUCAUUCCUGAGGCUAGUGAGACCACGAAUCCACCGGAAGGAAUGAACAACUCUGGAGGUGCCGCCUUUAAGAGCUGUAGCAGUCACCGUGAGGGUCUGCAGCUUCAUUCUUGAAGUAGGGAAGACCAAGAACCCACCAAUUCCGGAGACACUAGAAUUGAUGUUACAGUUAACAGAGGUAAAGGGCAUUCAUCUGCAUUUUCACUUUCUAAUGCAUCUCAUAUUUAGAGAAUGAGACUGUGACCAAGACAAUUGAAAACAGUUGAUUAUUUUUGUCUUCCUUUCUUUUUUUGAGACGCAAUCUCGCUCUGUCGACCAGACUGCAGUGCAGUGGUGCAAUCUCUGCUCACUGCAAGCUCCGCCUCCCGGGAGGUCAUUCUCCUGCCUCAGCCUCUGGAGGACUACAGGUGCCCGCCACCACGCCCAGCUAAUUUUUUGUAUUUUUUUUUUAGUGGAAACAGGGUUUCACUGUGUUAGCCAUGAUGGUCUCGAUCUCCUGACCUCGUGCCAAAGUGUUGGGAUUACAGGUGUGAGCCAUGGCACCCGGCCUAUUUUGUUUUCUUAACUUGAUUGGUAAAUUAGCAAAUGUAGUUAAAACACUGUGUGGAAUGUGGGGAAAAAAGAACAGUCACAGGCUCUCACUGAAAACUUCCGGGUUAUCGAUUCCAGCUUUGCAUCUCUAGAAACCUUCGUGUCUGUUCAUAUGAGGUCUGAAAAAAUAUUUUCAUCCCUUUUGGUUAACUGAAUGUAGGAUAUUUUUGUUACCAUUUAUAGCGUUUAUAAACUGCCAUUUCUAAAAACAUUCCAAAGUGUAGUUGUGUAAAAUAACUGUGGGUCAGUAAUUCAGACAGAAUUCCAUAGAAAAUGGUUUAUGUCUGCUGCAUGAAAUCUGGAGCUUCAACUGGGAAGACUCAAAUGGCUGAUAUGUGGCUCAGAUGAAUGGGGGCUUGAAUUAUUUGGCAACCUCUUUGCUCACAUGUCUGGCAUGUUGGCCAGGGUGGUGCAAAGGCUAGUUUCAGCUGGAGCUGUUGAUAAGAAUGCAUACACAUCGCUUUUCCAUAUGAACUGGGCUUCUCAUUCUCGUAGUGUAAUGGCUGGGUUCUGAAAGGAAGAAGCCCAAGACAGGGCACCAGGAGAGAGAGAGUUCUGGGAGAGACAGGUGAAGUUGCAUGGCUUUUUGUGACCCAGCCUUGGAAAUCACAGAAUGUUGCUUCUGUUCUAUUCCAUUAAUUAAAACAAGUACAGGCCUGCCCACAUUCAAGGGAAGAUGAUACAGGUGUUAAAGCCUCAGAAGGACUCCGUACUUCUAUAUUUGAGUGCUUGUGGAUGCACUGUAACCUAGCUUAAUAGACAAAAUUGAAAAGCUAUGUUAACAGUAUGCACCUGUAACAAUGGCUGAGUGUUGGCCAAUCCCAGUGGCCAUACUUCAGCCUCUCAUGGACUGUUGAAUGUUCAAACUGCAUUCAAAUAAGGAAACCCUGAGGUGUAACUAAUCUGUUUCUGUAUCUCAUUUCUGAUUCUUGUAUGUCACUUUAUCUUUUUUGUUUAUAAAUUUGUUGUUACCACGAGACACCCCUGCAGUGUCUGUGAAUCUGCUGUGAUUCUGGGGGCUGCCUGAUUGGAGAAUCGUUCAUUGCUCAAUUAAACUCCUUUAAAUUUAAUUCAGCUGAAGUUUUUCUUUUAUCAGAUGGUGUCAGAAGCAGGAUCCAAAGCGGAGCUUCCAGUGACUUCCAGGAGCACUGAGUGAACACGCAAGGUACCAGCAGGACCCGCUUGUGUCCAUGGAUCUCUGAGUGUUUGGGGAUGGUGGGUAAGCUCACUUUCAGAUUUUGGAGCUCCAUGGAUUUGUGUUUUGAGCUCUCUGAGUUUCUUUGAGCAAAUUUCUGAUCCAAACUGGGUUUGGAGUCACGACACAAACUGGACUGGGUCGAGGAACAGAUUCGAUGUGGGAAUUAACUGGUUUGGAUCCAGGUAGAGGCCUCUUACAUCUGACUGGGUCAGAAAGGAACUAGUAGUAAGCAGUAAUAUUGCAGGGGUUAUAAUUUUGGCUUUUGAAAAUUCAUAGGGAUUUUUGUGUUCUACCCCGUUGUUUCAUUUUUCUUGUGUGCUUAGGUAGAAAAAAAAUUGUUGGCUAAGUUAAGAGAACUUGAGAGUAAAGCCAGUAUUUUAGGUAAAAAUGGGAUCCUUAAUUUCUGGAAAACCGAGUUCCUUCUGGUUUAUACAUUAGGCCUUGGAGGCAGUGAAGUCUUACAGAAGUGGCAAGACCUUACUAAAGAUAACUUACGGUGGCACAUUCUGAAUGAACAGCAAUACAUGGAAGUACAUUUAAAAAGGAGGGUUCUUGGUAAAGUGCCUUUUGGCUAAGAACAGGUUUGGCACUACAGGAUGUUAACUGUUGUUCUUUUUGGAAUAAUUUGCCUUGCACUCUUUGCUGAUGGCUGUGGGUGACAUGAUUAGGCAUGUACAGGAUUGUGGGACUUGGGGAACUUUUUCCUCCCCAAAAGGGGAAACUUGAGAGCUAAUGGGAUGGCUGGAAAAGAUCCCUUUGCUGCCAAGAAGUAGCCACCUC
rnacentral:lncRNA from 1 species